rnacentral:lncRNA from 1 species
AACCCUUGAGCAAUGACAAGUACCUGCCAAACACUGUUGUGAAAACCUCUCUCCUGGGAAAACAAAAGUCAUGACAUUUUGAGCACAAUUGUGUGUGGGAUGCAUUCAUCAAUAGAGCUGGAAGCACCAACCACCAUAGGAGAGGAAACUUUUAGUUACAAGCACAUGAAUAAAUAAAUCAAACUCAACUGGAAUGACGUUCCUGAGGAUGGAGAUACAUUUUUUUGUUGACCCAUCUAAACUUGAACAGCAAGUGAUAAUUAGUCUCCAAUCAGAAAGUCCCAGGACUUAUAGGAGCAGAAAUCAGAAGACUUUACUCCACAAACUUCAGGUGGACAUGUGGACAAAGCCAUCUGAGAACGUGACAAAAAUACAGCAAGAGCAGAGACAAGAUCAGAUCAUCCUGGGGGCAGAUGCUGGGCUCUGACCAAUUUGAGAGAGAAAAGGAAAAAGAACCCAGCUACAAGAUGCACAAGUAGCAGGCCACAGCCACCAACAUCAGCAGAGCAAUUGGAGGCCAGGAAGACAAGGACACUUCUGAAGAGACUGAAAAAAGCAGAAGACAGUCCAAGUCACUGCAAGGUUCCAAGGUCUCUUUUUUCAUUACUGUACCAAGUAAGCCAAAAUCCACCCUACUCUUCAAAACCAUCUUGAAGAGUUGCAGGUCAGGGUUGCUGCAUCUGAGCAUGUUUACUCACAAAAGGUGACAGAUGCUCCUCAACUUACAAUGAGAUUACAUCCUGAUAAAUGUGUCAUAAGUUGAAAAUAUGUUACAAGUCGAAAAUGCAUUUACUACAGCCUAACCCACUGAACAUUGUAACUUAGGCUAGCCUACCUUAAAACGUGAUCAGGACACUUCCCUCAGCCUACAUUUGGGCAAAAUCACCUAACACGAAGCCUAUUUUAUAAUAGAGCAUUGAAUAGCUCAAAUAAUUUAUUCAAUACUGUACAUUACAUAGAAUUUGUGACAGUUUUACACCAUCAUUAUGUCAAAAAAUCAUUAAGUUGAGCCACCGUAACUCAGGGACUGUCUGUAUUUAUAUUUUUACUUCACACUAAGCUUUGAAACUGAAAUUUUUGCUCCUCAGCAGAUGGGGUUUCUGAGAAAGACCAAAUUAGUUAUAGAGCACUAGCUCCCAAAAAAAAAAAAAAAAACAGAAGAAGUCAGAGGAGGAGGGCUACAUGGAGCAGAGGAAGAAGGAGAGAAAAAGCAAGAAACCAUUAUCGCUCCCUCAUCUGAACUGCACUGCGAGUAAGCUGGGGCUUCCACCACAGUGUCCUGGAAGCCAUGUUUGCUGCCCAUUUCUGGACUCUCCAGCCACACUGGCCUCCUUUCCCUUUCUCAAACCUGCUGUGGUUCCUGCCACUUCAAGAUAAUCUCUUAACAAUCUAUUCCUUCUGCCUGAAAUGCUCUUCCUCCCACCCAACCCCGCCCUGCCCAGCUAACUCCAUUCUUUGGCCCCUGCAUCGCUUUCCCAAGGAAGCCAUUUCUGGACUUCCCUCACCCCUGCCUUCCAUCUUCACUGGCCCAGAGUUCCCUACCCUAUGGUCUCAUUGCUCCCUCCCAGGCACUGCUGCCUCCCAGGACUCUUCCCCGUCGGUAAUAUAGUUCUGCUUGAUUGUUCAGUUAAUUUUGCCUCCCCUGAAGACCAUAAGCCAUGUUGGCAAUGAUGGUUUUGCUCACCAUUGCACCUCCAGUGUCUAAAAACCAUGGGCAGGUCAAUUCAUUUUUGUUGAGUAAAGGAAUUGUUCAAUAAGUGCACAAAUAAAUUCACAUUAAAACUUGUCC